rnacentral:rRNA from 1 species
UACGGAGGGGGCUAGCGUUGCUCGGAAUCACUGGGCGUAAAGCGCACGUAGGCGGCUUCUUAAGUCAGGGGUGAAAUCCUGGAGCUCAACUCCAGAACUGCCCUUGAUACUGAGGAGCUUGAGUCCGGGAGAGGUGAGUGGAACUGCGAGUGUAGAGGUGAAAUUCGUAGAUAUUCGCAAGAACACCAGUGGCGAAGGCGGCUCACUGGCCCGGUACUGACGCUGAGGUGCGAAAGCGUGGGGAGCAAACAGG